ACGAUUGACGGAGCGAAGCGACGUCAAAGCGUAUACAAAGUCGAGUCGGUUUAAGGAUACGUUCGUUGGGUAGGGGAGCGUUCUGUAAGCCUGUGAAGGUGGCCUGUGAGGGUUGCUGGAGGUAUCAGAAGUGCGAAUGCUGACAUAAGUAACGAUAAAGCGGGUGAAAAGCCCGCUCGCCGGAAGACCAAGGGUUCCUGUCCAACGUUAAUCGGGGCAGGGUGAGUCGACCCCUAAGGC
rnacentral:rRNA from 1 species